CGAACGGGUGAGUAACGCGUUGGUAAUCUGCCCCAAAGUAAGGGAUAACAGUUGGAAACGACUGCUAAUACCUUAUGUGAUCACAGAGAUUAGAUGCUCUAUGAUUAAAGGAGUAAUCCGCUUUGGGAGGAGCCUGCGUCCCAUCAGCUUGUUGGUAAGGUAAUGGCUUACCAAGGCUAUGACGGGUAGGAGGCCUGAGAGGGUGGCCUCCCACAAUGGUACUGAAACACGGACCAU
rnacentral:rRNA from 1 species